AAAAAAGGUGAGAGAAAUGGCCGCGAAAAACAGCGAUCUUGUAUGCUCCCAUCUGUUAUUCUACUGCUGGUCUACCAGGCAAACACGGUGGGGCCUGAACUUACAAAACACCAGGCUGUAUCCUCUCACAGGCUCCAUGAGGUUUCCAGCCACAAUAAGGAUCCCUUGAUGCAAUACAGGACCUGGGCAGCCAUGGCUCACCUGUUCAUCUGCGUGGUAAACACACCCACCACCGAGGGAACUCCGUUGAUGUUAAUUAUAUCAGUGAUGGACUGAAGCACAUCAAAGUAGAAGAAGGAC